CUGGGAGCGGGGCUGGACGGGAUGGAUCCCGAGGACGGCCUCAUCCGAACGCUGGUGCGGCCCCGAGGUGCGCGGCGUGGGAACGUGCGGCGGCCGGGAGGGUGGCGGAGGCUCCGCCGUCCCCGGCCACGGCUGUCCCAUAAGGGCCCCAUGCCCUUCUGAUGGAGGACCACCGCCAGCGCUCCGAGGAUGCAUCCCCACCGCCCGCUCUGCUCGUCCCUGAGCCCACCCGAGAGCUGGCGUCGCCUCCCUGCAGCUGUCCCUGGUGGCUCUGGCACCGCGUCCUCCCAGUGCCCCGCGCCCUGAUCCCGGUGUGCCAGGUCCAGGGGCUCUGCAUAAAGCACUUUGUCCGGCGGAGGAGCUCUCCGUGGGGUCCCGUCCUGCCCCAUCCCCUCCCGGAGGGGUCUAUUUAUUCCUGUGGUGCCGACCCCCUGUGAGCUGCCCUGUGGGGUUCCCACCUCCAGGGCUCUGCAGGAAGCACUGAUGUACCCCAAAGGGGCCGCAGCGGUGCCGGGCCCUGCUGGUCACCGUGUCUGUCACGUCUGUAAAGAAUUGUUCUGUGUAAAUACAUCUUUAUUAUAAAG
rnacentral:lncRNA from 1 species